GAUGAACGCUAGCGGCAGGCUUAAUACAUGCAAGUCGAACGGGAUUCAGGGUAGCAAUACUUUGAUGAGAGUGGCGCACGGGUGCGUAACGCGUAUGCAACCUACCUUUAACAGGGGAAUAGCCCCGAGAAAUCGGGAUUAAUACUCCGUAACAUUGCGGGAUGGCAUCAUUCUGCAAUUAAAGAUUUAUCGGUUAAAGAUGGGCAUGCGUGACAUUAGCUUGUUGGUGAGGUAACGGCUCACCAAGGCAACGAUGUCUAGGGGUCCUGAGAGGGUUAUCCCCCACACUGGUACUGAGACACGGACCAGACUCCUACGGGAGGCAGCAGUAAGGAAUAUUGGUCAAUGGGCGCAAGCCUGAACCAGCCAUGCCGCGUGCAGGAAGACGGCCCUAUGGGUUGUAAACUGCUUUUGUCAGGGAAUAAACCUGUCUACGUGUAGACAGCUGAAGGUCCUGAAGAAUAAGCAUCGGCUAACUCCGUGCCAGCCGCCG
rnacentral:rRNA from 1 species